UCGCCCAGCCAGCAGAGGAGGGGCCUUGUCUUGAGGAGGGGCCAGAACACUGAGUCCCUCUGCCACAGCUAUGGUGACCCCAUUGUUCCUGUUAUACAAUAGUUAAAAAGCAAAUGCUUUUGAAUUAAGUGUUUUAGGAGAAAGAAGGGCUUGGACAACCCAUAAAGAGUCCCUGAGCCUGAGUCCCACCACUGGCCAUGUUAUUCCCAUAGAGUUGAGCCAGGAGAACCAGGGAGAGAGGGCAAGGGGUGGGCCAUCCCCGGGUCCCAUCCACCCUGACUGCUUGCUUCCUCUCUUCCAGGUGUGCAGUUUGCGAAGCGCCCGCCAUGGUGAUGGCGGUGCACAGUCAGACCAUCCAGAUCCCGCAGUGCCCCAACGGUUGGUCCUCACUGUGGAUUGGCUAUUCCUUUGUGAUGCACACCAGCGCUGGUGCUGAAGGUUCUGGCCAAGCCCUUGCAUCUCCCGGGUCCUGUCUGGAAGAGUUUAGAAGUGCCCCAUUCAUCGAGUGCCAUGGCAGAGGAACGUGCAAUUACUACGCGAAUGCUUACAGCUUUUGGCUCGCCACCAUAGAGAGAAGCGAGAUGUUCAAGAAGCCCACGCCGUCCACCUUGAAGGCAGGGGAGCUGCGCACGCAUGUCAGCCGCUGCCAAGUGUGCAUGAGAAGAACAUAGUGAUGCCCCCCUCUGCCGCCGUCACAACAUGGUGCUACUCCCUCCUUGU
rnacentral:lncRNA from 1 species